rnacentral:rRNA from 1 species
AUUGAACGCUGGCGGCAGGCUUAACACAUGCAAGUCGAGCGGAGAGAGGUAGCUUGCUACUGAUCUUAGCGGCGGACGGGUGAGUAAUGCUUAGGAAUCUGCCUGGUAGUGGGGGAUAACGUUCCGAAAGGAACGCUAAUACCGCAUACGUCCUACGGGGGAAAGCGGGGGAUCUUCGGACCUCGUGCUAGAGGAGGAGCCUGCGUCGGAUUAGCUAGUUGGUGAGGUAAGGGCUCACCAAGGCGACGAUCCGUAGCUGGUCUGAGAGGAUGAUCAGCCACACCGGAACUGAGACACGGUCCGGACUCCUACGGGAGGCAGCAGUGGGGAAUAUUGCGCAAUGGGCGAAAGCCUGACGCAGCCAUACCGCGUGUGUGAAGAAGGCCUUCGGGUUGUAAAGCACUUUCAGUGGGGAGGAAAAGCUGGCGGCUAAUAUCCGCCGGCCGUGACGCUACCCACAGAAGAAGCACCGGCUAAUUCCGUGCCAGCCGCCGCAGUAAUAC